rnacentral:rRNA from 1 species
AACGAACGCUGGCGGCAGGCUUAUCACAUGCAAGUCGAGCGCCCCGCAAGGGGAGCGGCAGACGGGUGAGUAACGCGUGGGAAUCUACCCAUCUCUACGGAAUAACGCAUGGAAACGUGUGCUAAUACCGUAUACGUCCUUCGGGAGAAAGAUUUAUCGGAGAGUGGAUGAGCCCGCGUUGGAUUAGCUAGUUGGUGGGUUAAAGGCCUACCAAGGCGACGAUCCAUAGCUGGUCUGAGAGGAUGAUCAGCCACACUGGGACUGAGACACGGCCCAGACUCCUACGGGAGGCAGCAGUGGGGAAUAUUGGACAAUGGGCGCAAGCCUGAUCCAGCCAUGCCGCGUGAGUGAUGAAGGCCCUAGGGUUGUAAAGCUCUUUCACCGGUGAAGAUAAUGACGGUAACCGGAGAAGAAGCCCCGGCUAACUUCGUGCCAGCAGCCGCCGUAACAC